GACGAACGCUGGCGGCGUGCCUAACACAUGCAAGUCGAACGGAGUUAUGUUCAGCACUGAGCUUUCCUAGAAAGGAAGGCUGAGUGCUGGAUAUAGCUUAGUGGCGGACGGGUGAGUAACGCGUGAGCAACCUGCCUUUAAGAGGGGGAUAACAUACCGAAAGGUAUGCUAAUACCGCAUAAAAUAUGAUUGUGGCAUCACAGACAUAUCAAAGAUUUAUCGCUUAGAGAUGGGCUCGCGUCCGAUUAGAUAGUUGGUGAGGUAACGGCUCACCAAGUCAGCGAUCGGUAGCCGGACUGAGAGGUUGAACGGCCACAUUGGGACUGAGACACGGCCCAGACUCCUACGGGAGGCAGCAGUGGGGAAUAUUGCGCAAUGGGGGGAACCCUGACGCAGCAACGCCGCGUGAAGGAAGAAGGUCUUCGGAUUGUAAACUUUUGUCUUAUGGGAAGAAUAAAUGACGGUACCAUAGGAGGAAGCCACGGCUAACUACGUG
rnacentral:rRNA from 1 species